rnacentral:rRNA from 1 species
CAGUCGCCGCGGUAAAACGAAGGGUGCAAGCGUUACUCGGAAUUACUGGGCGUAAAGCGUGCGUAGGUGGUGGUUUAAGUCCGUUGUGAAAGCCCUGGGCUCAACCUGGGAAUUGCAGUGGAUACUGGGUCACUAGAGUGUGGUAGAGGAUAGUGGAAUUUCCGGUGUAGCAGUGAAAUGCGUAGAGAUCGGAAGGAACAUCUGUGGCGAAGGCGACUAUCUGGGCCAACACUGACACUGAGGCACGAAAGCGUGGGGAGCAAACAGGAUUAGAUACCCCAGUAGUCCCUGUCUCUUAUAA